UACGGGGGGAGCAAGCGUUGUCCGGAUUUACUGGGCGUAAAGAGCGCGCAGGCGGUCGUUCAAGUCGCGUGUGAAAGCCCCCGGCUCAACUGGGGAGGGUCACGCGAUACUGAUCGACUCGAAGGCAGGAGAGGGUAGUGGAAUUCCCGGUGUAGUGGUGAAAUGCGUAGAUAUCGGGAGGAACACCAGAGGCGAAGGCGGCGACCUGGACAGAUACUGACACUAAACUACGAAAGCGUGGGGAGCAAACAGG
rnacentral:rRNA from 1 species